GUGGCUGACUGAUUACGGUGGUCGCUUUGCAAGCGAAUGAUCAUGGGUUCGAUUCCCAUC
rnacentral:tRNA from 1 species